rnacentral:rRNA from 1 species
AACGAACGCUGGCGGCAUGCCUAACACAUGCAAGUCGAACGAAGCCUUCGGGCUUAGUGGCGCACGGGUGCGUAACGCGUGGGAAUCUGCCCCUUGCUUCGGAAUAACAGUUAGAAAUGACUGCUAAUACCGGAUGAAGUCUUCGGACCAAAGAUUUAUCGGCAAGGGAUGAGCCCGCGUAGGAUUAGGUAGUUGGUGGGGUAAAGGCCUACCAAGCCGACGAUCCUUAGCUGGUCUGAGAGGAUGAUCAGCCACACUGGGACUGAGACACGGCCCAGACUCCGCGGGGAGGAGGAGGGGGGAAAUAUUGAAAAGGGGAGGAAAGUUGAACACGUCAUGGCCGGGGGAGGAAGGAGGCCUUAGGGGUUGAAAACCUUUUUACCAAGGGAGAAAAAGAACAUUCCGUGAAAAAGAGCCCCGGCCAACCCCGGUC